rfam:Cavia porcellus supercont2_15 genomic scaffold, whole genome shotgun sequence.
GGGGAUUUAGCUCAGCGGCAUAAGCACCUGCCUUCUAAGCAGAUGGUCAUGAGUUUGAUCCCCA